UGAGGAAUAUUGGUCAAUGGGCGCGAGCCUGAACCAGCCAAGUAGCGUGCAGGAAGACGGCCCUAUGGGUUGUAAACUGCUUUUAUGCGGGGAUAAAGGAGUCCACGUGUGGAUUUUUGCAGGUACCGCAUGAAUAAGGUCCGGCUAAAUACGUGCCAGCAGCCGCGGUAAUACGUAUGGACCGAGCGUUGUCCGGAAUCAUUGGGCGUAAAGGGUACGUAGGCGGCCCAGUAAGUUAGAAGUGAAAUAAUAUAGCUCAACUAUAUAAAGCUUUUAAAACUGCUAGGCUUGAGAGAUGGAAGGGAAAGUGGAAUUCCUAGUGUAGCGGUGAAAUGCGCAGAUAUUAGGAAGAAUACCGGUGGCGAAGGCGACUUUCUGGUCAUCAUCUGACGCUGAGGUACGAAAGCGUGGGUAGCAAACAGG
rnacentral:rRNA from 1 species